rnacentral:rRNA from 1 species
CCCUUAGAUGUCCUGGGCCGCACGCGCGCUACACUGACGAAGGCAACGAGCUUUCCUUUACCGAAAGGUACGGGUAAUCUUUUGAAACUUCGUCGUGCUGGGGAUAGAUCCUUGCAAUUUUUGAUCUUAAACGAGGAAUGCCUAGUAAGCGCAAGUCAUCAACUUGCGUUGAUUACGUCCCUGCCCUUUGUACACACCGCCCGUCGCUACUACCGAUUGAAUGGUUUAGUGAGGCCUUCGGAUCCGCGACUCGUUUUGUGGAGAAGUUGGACAAACUCAGUCAUUUAGAGGAAGUAAAAGUCGUAACA